UUUAUGGAGAGUUUGAUCCUGGCUCAGGAUGAACGCUGGCGGCGUGCCUAAUACAUGCAAGUCGAGCGAACGGACGAGAAGCUUGCUUCUCUGAUGUUAGCGGCGGACGGGUGAGUAACACGUGGAUAACCUACCUAUAAGACUGGGAUAACUUCGGGAAACCGGAGCUAAUACCGGAUAAUAUUUUGAACCGCAUGGUUCAAAAGUGAAAGACGGUCUUGCUGUCACUUAUAGAUGGAUCCGCGCUGCAUUAGCUAGUUGGUAAGGUAACGGCUUACCAAGGCAACGAUGCAUAGCCGACCUGAGAGGGUGAUCGGCCACACUGGAACUGAGACACGGUCCAGACUCCUACGGGAGGCAGCAGUAGGGAAUCUUCCGCAAUGGGCGAAAGCCUGACGGAGCAACGCCGCGUGAGUGAUGAAGGUCUUCGGAUCGUAAAACUCUGUUAUUAGGGAAGAACAUAUGUGUAAGUAACUGUGCACAUCUUGACGGUACCUAAUCAGAAAGCCACGGCUAACUACGUGCCAGCAGCCGCGGUAAUACGUAGGUGGCAAGCGUUAUCCGGAAUUAUUGGGCGUAAAGCGCGCGUAGGCGGUUUUUUAAGUCUGAUGUGAAAGCCCACGGCUCAACCGUGGAGGGUCA
rnacentral:rRNA from 1 species